GUUGUGGUUCAGUGGUAGAGCGCUCACCUAGCAUGUGUGAGGCCUUGGGUUCAAUCCUCAGCAUCACA
rnacentral:tRNA from 1 species